rnacentral:snRNA from 1 species
AGAUGUGAUGGCAAUCUGGCUCUGACAUCUGUCAUCCCAUUGAUUGCCACAGUUUAGCUGGAUAGACAAACCAAUGUCCCUUUCCACCCUCACUUCUUUCCUCACUGCAUACUUAGUUAAAGAAAGCCACCUCCACUGGGGGAAAAAUGAUUGUGAUUUGAUCAAGGGUGCAUCAGCAUUCCUCUGAUAGCAUUUCCAAACAAGCUCUUGAAAAUCUGUUUUCCCCUUCCUAACUAGCAUUGUUUAUUGAUUCCCCUUUCCUGACUUGGUGAGAAUGAAUAGUACGUUUUAACACACUGUUUGUGUGCUGCUUAAGUUUGAGUCUUUCCCUCUGU